rnacentral:misc_RNA from 1 species
GGUGUUGGUGUUGGUGUUGGUGUUGGUGUAGGUGCUGCUGUUUAUUUGAUUGCACUUGAAGAGGCGGCCAAGCAGACUGUGGAAUACCCAGUGGACGCACACAUAGGACGCACACAUCUCCCAUUUUCAUAGCCAACCACACUCCUGCCUCUGCUCUGGAUCUGUAUCUGUUGUUGCUGGUUCUGGAAGUGGGACUGGAUCUGCGGCCGAGGGUGGUGGUGCUGCUGGGGUUGUGGCUGGGCUUGCCAUCCAGCCUUCAUUUGCUGUCUUUCACAAACUGAAGGGCACUGCGACUUUAGCAGCGGUUCCUGUCUCACUUGAGAAUGGUACUGAUUCAUUUGUGAAACAGAGUGGUUAAAGCUCUGGCUAGAGUAAAGCCCUGGAUUCUGAUUUUUCAGGAUAGUGUCUGCAUGCUGGCUCCUUACAGUACCCAGCAGUCCCCUCCCUUGACGGUCGUUGUACUUGUUUCCUUCAUUGCUCAUCUUUAGCCUAGCAACUUGGCCAGCAGCUGCGUAUAUCAGAUCCCAUGUAUCAUUUUUGGCCCUGAAAGGCGUCGUCGGGGGCGACAAUACACCGUUUGGGCUCCCGUUACUACUCGAAACCGACCAGCUUCCGAUUCCACUCAGUGUCGACUCGGGCGACCCGGCCAUGACCCAGUUAUCGGGUUUGACAGUGAAUUGUUGAGUUAGUCGACGAGUCAGCCCAGCUAGAAAAUCGUCCUCGUCACAGUUCUCAAUUUCAGAGGAGCCAACAACAGACUCAUCCGGCGAGCUAAGAGAAGCAGAGGAGCCCUUAAGCUCAAACUCAUAAGGGAACUCAGUAGGAAAACUAAAUCCGGCAGGCUUGAACUCAGAGCUCAACCCGUUGUUGAUAAAGUUCUCUUUGUCCAUGAGCAACUCUUCCUCAGUAAGAAACUCAGUAGGAAGCCAAGAUUCUACAUCUUCAUGAGACCCAGCCAUGAUAAGUAACAGAAAAAAAGCUAAAGAGGAAGAGAGAAGAAAAGAGAAGGAGAGGUGGAGAUGGAAAUGAGAGAAGCUGGUAGAGGAAGAUUUAAUAAUGACCCUGCAGAGUUUGCUAGGGUUUGCAGGCUGAUGGGCCCAGCAAAGGAAGGGAAAGUGAAAAAGGAGAGAGAGAGAGAGAGAGAGAG